UACAGAGGUCCCGAGCGUUGUUCGGAUUCACUGGGCGUAAAGGGUGCGUAGGUGGUGGGGUAAGUCGGAUGUGAAAUCUCCGAGCUCAACUCGGAAAUGGCAUUGGAAACUACCUUGCUUGAGGGUUGGAGGGGGGACUGGAAUACUUGGUGUAGCAGUGAAAUGCGUAGAUAUCAAGUGGAACACCAGUGGCGAAGGCGAGUCCCUGGACAACUCCUGACACUGAGGCACGAAAGCUAGGGGAGCAAACAGG
rnacentral:rRNA from 1 species